UUCCCAGUCACGAUACCAACACAGGUGGUCAGGUAGAGAAUACCAAGGUGAUCGAGAGAAUCGUGGUGAAGGAACUCGGCAAAAUACCCCCGUAACUUCGGGAGAAGGGGGGCUAAUUUUUGUGUAGAGGUUUACCUUCGAAGCAUAAGUUAGACGCAGAGAAUAGGCUCAAGCGACUGUUUACCAAAAACACAGGUCCGUGCGAAGUUGCAAAACGAUGUAUACGGACUGACGCCUGCCCGGUGCUGGAAGGUUAAGGGGACUGGUUAGCCGCAAGGCGAAGCUGAGAACUUAAGCCCCAGUAAACGGCGGUGGUAACUAUAACCAUCCUAAGGUAGCGAAAUUCCUUGUCGGGUAAGUUCCGACCUGCACGAAUGGCGUAACGACUUGAGCGCUGUCUCAUCCGUAAACUCGGCGAAAUUGCAGUACGAGUAAAGAUGCUCGUUACGCGCAGAAAGACGGAAAGACCCCGGGACCUUUACUAUAUCUUGAUAUUGGUGUUCGGAACGGUUUGUGUAGCAUAGGUGGGAGACUUUGAAGCGGGCACGCCAGUGUUUGUGGAGUCAUCAUUGAAAUACCACUCUGAUCGUUUUGAACUUCUAACCUCGGUCCAUAAUCUGGAUCAGGGACAGUGUCUGGUGGGUAGUUUGACUGGGGCGGUCGCCUCCUAAAAAGUAACGGAGGCGCUCAAAGGUUCCCUCAGCCUGGUUGGCAAUCAGGUGUCGAGUGUAAGUGCACAAGGGAGCUUAACUGUGAGACAGACAUGUCGAGCAGGUGCGAAAGCAGGAACUAGUGAUCCGGCGGUGGCUUGUGGAAGCGCCGUCGCUCAACGGAUAAAAGGUACCCCGGGGAUAACAGGCUGAUCUUGCCCAAGAGUCCAUAUCGACGGCAAGGUUUGGCACCUCGAUGUCGGCUCGUCUCAUCCUGGGGCUGGAGUAGGUCCCAAGGGUUGGGCUGUUCGCCCAUUAAAGAGGCACGCGAGCUGGGUUCAGAACGUCGUGAGACAGUUCGGUCCCUAUCUUCUGUGCGCGCAGGAAACUU
rnacentral:rRNA from 1 species